AUGGACCUUGUGUGCAGGAACGUGCAUCAGCGCUGGUUCCUCCUCUUUCUGGUGGCAGCUCCCGGUUGUGUCCUGUCCCAGGUACAGCUGCAGGAGUCGGGACCAAGCCUGGUGACACCCUCGCAGACACUGUCCCUCACCUGCUCUGUCUCUGGAUUCUCUCUAACCAACUAUUCUGUGGACUGGGUCCGCCAGGCCCCUGGAAAGGGGCUGGAGUGGAUUGGUGCUAUAUGGGCUAGUGGAAGCACAAACUAUAACCCAAGUCUUCAGUCCCGAGUCAGCAUCUCCAGGGACACCUCCAAGAACCAAGUUUACCUAAAACUGAGCCACUCAGUAACUGAGGACACAGCCGUGUAUUAUUGUGCAAGAGACACAGUGAGGGCAAGAGCCUCCUAUUACCUGUUUCAGUACUGGACCCUCUCCCUCACCUGCUCUGUCUCCGGAUUCUCCAUCACAACCAGUGGUUACUGCUGGGAAUGGAUCCGCCAGCCCCCAGGGAAGGGCCUGCUCUGGUUGGGGUACAUAUGUCCUAGUGGAAGCACCUACUACAGCCCGUCCUUUAAGAGCCGCAUCUCCAUCACCAGAGACACGAACAAGAACCAGUUCUCCCUGCAGCUGAGCUCAGUGACCCCUGAGGACACAGCCAUGUAUUACUGUGCGAGACACACAGACUUCCCCCAUGCGGCCCUUUCUCUGUAA